UGAGGCAGGAGAAUUGCUUGAACCCAAAAGACGGAGGUUGCAGUGAGCUGAGAUUCAGCCUGGGUAACAGAGUGAGACUCGCCUCAAAAAAAAAAAAAAGAAAGAAAGAAAUACCACCAUGGCUGACCCCAAAUUCUAUAGUAAUUCCUUGCAUUUCUUUAGUGUGUUCACUCCCAGUCUUUGCAGUUUGUGUCCCUCUCAUAAACCCUAUGAGGUAAACAGAUGCACCCACUUUAGAGGUGGGAGUCGUGGAGUCACACAUCUGAACGCUAGUGCCAUCAGGGAUGUUAGCAUCCAGUGGCUUUUAGUUGAACCUUUUCAUGUUACAGAAGAAACAAACAUCCAGUGAGGAAGAGUGGGGCUUGCAGCGCUGAGACCCCCAGCUGCACUGUGAGAGCCCCUGGCAGAGAAGCGUCCUCAUAGCUCAUGAAGACCCAGGCAGUUAAUGGUUCUUUCCUUUCUUGGUAGGAAUUUGGUGCAUUGAUGAGCAAUUACUCUCUCCCCCCACCCCUGCCCACCUAUCAUGUCCUGCUGGAGGGGGAGGGCCUGGGACAGUCACUAGGCAACUUCAAGGACGACCUGCUCAAUGUAUGCAUGCGCCACGUUGAGAAGAUGUGCAAGGCGGACCUGAGCCGUAACUUCAUUGAGAGGAACCACAUGGAGAACGGUGGUGACCAUCGCUAUGUGAACAACUACACGAACAGCUUCGGGGGUGAGUGGAGUGCACCGGACACCAUGAAGAGAUACUCCAUGUACCUGACACCCAAAGGU
rnacentral:lncRNA from 1 species